rnacentral:rRNA from 1 species
UACAGAGGUCCCAAGCGUUGUUCGGAUUCAUUGGGCGUAAAGGGUGCGUAGGCGGCGCGGUAAGUCGGAUGUGAAAUCUCGGAGCUUAACUUCGAAACUGCAUUCGAUACUGCCGUGCUUGAGGACUGGAGAGGAGACUGGAAUUUACGGUGUAGCGGUGAAAUGCGUAGAUAUCGUAAGGAAGACCAGUGGCGAAGGCGGGUCUCUGGACAGUUCCUGACACUGAGGCACGAAGGCCAGGGGAGCAAACGGG